AUUGAACGCUGGCGGCAGGCCUAACACAUGCAAGUCGAACGCGUGGCGGACCGGUGUGUAAUGUCUGGGAAACUGCCUGCUGGAGGGCGAUCACUUCUGGCAACGGUCGCUAAUACCGCCUACCAUCCCUUGUGCCCAUAUGGGCUUAGCUAGUUGUUUGGGUAACGGCUCACCAAGGUGACGAUCCCUAGCUGGUCUGAGAGGAGGACCAGCCUCACUUGAACUGAGCCACGGUCCAGACUCCUACGGGAGGCAGCAGUGGGGAAUAUUGCACAUGGGGCGCACGCCUGAUGCAGCCAUGCCGCGUGUAUGAAGAAGGCCAUCGGGUUGUAAAGUACUUUCAGCGGGGAGACGUUACCCGAAGAAGAAGCACCGGCUAACUCCGUGCCAGCAGCCGCGGUAAUUG
rnacentral:rRNA from 1 species